GUGACGGCGACGCGAUCGAGCGACGACGACGGGAGACGACGAGAUCGUGCGAAGGCGGCGAGAUCGAGUGUAUUCUCUCUCACAAAGCAGAUGAGAUCGAGACUCGAAAUCUCAAAGUGUCGAAUCCUCAUCAAAAAUCACAAGUUGUAAGAGAAAGAGUUUUAAAACCCCUUUGUAAAUCUGGAUUUCAAGUAAUUUUAGAAUUUUAUUACGAUACCACAUAGGGUUUGACUAUAUACAUCCAAUAUAUUUUGAUUACGUGAUGGUUCAUUAGCUUCCAUAUUUUGUUUGUUGUGUAGUUCACGAGACUACUCUCAGAAGAAGCGAGUGAUUCUACUGAUGAAAUGAUGGAGCAAGAGAUGGCUUUAGCUAAAUUAAUGCUAGGGCUUGUUGGAACUAUCAAGGAUUGGGCUAAUGAAAUAUUUAAGAGGCUGGAGGAUCAAAAGUCAACUAGGGAAAGAAACAGGAUGCACUUUGGCAGCCUGCUUAUACAUUUUUUGUAGACAAGAGGACAAGCCACAAA